GGAGAGAUGGCCGAGUGGUUGAAGGCGCCGCUCUCGAAAAGCGGUAUACCCUCACGGGUAUCAAGGGUUCGAAUCCCUUUCUCUCCGCCA
rnacentral:tRNA from 1 species